GGUUAAAGCCGUCUUUUACCUAUUUCAAAGACUUGAACCUCAUGGAAGAUUUUGAGCUUUCUGAAGAUAUUAUAGCAGAAUUUGAAGAAAUUUCUUCUACAGCAAGAAGAGGAUCUUUACCGUCUCAGCCACAACCUUCUGGUUGUGCUUGAAAAAUAUGGAGUUCAACUAUGUUUUUUGAAGUCAUAUGUGACUUAUAUUUUGUGACUACUCAAUGGUCAAAUAAUAUAUAUUUUGUCCCGUAAAUGAGGGAAGAAACUGCAGUUCAGAAAGCUAAGGAAAC